AACGCGCUGGUUUCACACUGGAAGGCACUGGAAGACGCUGGUUCUUGCAAUCGGCAUUUCAGAGGUUUUUUACUAUCAAGUAAGAGCAUCGUUAAAAAGACACUCAUUGACCAAGGCAAACAUCACACUAAUCGAAAUUAGGAAAACCAAAGAAAUAUAACGGAAGCGCGCAUUGUGGUUUAUAUCGCAUAUGCAGGUAAAUCACAAAGAUGUAUACCAAGAAACACUAAGCAAAACUGCGCCUUAGCAAUCGCGUCAUAUCUAUUUGCUGGCAUGCAGUGACUGCAGCACUUGGGGCGGAAACAGAUCGAACGCCGCCGCAAAUUUCUGGCACAUACCACUCAAAUGCACGCUGCAGAAACGAUUUUUUUUUUCAAGGAAUCUUGAACAGUCACAGACCACAUGAGCGCGAUCCGCGCAUGAUAAGCGCAUCGCCACGAAAGCAAGAUAGGGAACACAUAAGCGUAACCUGUACCUCACGGGUAAAAUUAAACAUCAUCGUAUAUACGUUGCUGUGCGACGGACACAAGCGCACGGAAACAUCACACACUGCACACGUGUACCUCCGAGGUUGUGUCGACAAUUUCUGGGCUACAUUUAAACGACAGCAGGAAGUUACUUCAAUGAGAAACGAAGUGAGGGCACAGGCACUGCAGGUAACGGCUGCGCAUAAAGUCAGUUAGGGUUUUAAGGCCAGUGACCGAGGUUGAAAUCGUUAAAAUCACACCGCAGCGAUAGCUUACACAGGGUAAAUUGUCGAGAUCUUGAAGGCCAUGCUUUUUGCUGACUACAUGUGGCAUAAGCGAUUCAAAAGCAAGAAUACUGCAUGUAAUUUAUUUCUGCCCUAAACUAUAGCACACAAUAUGAGCAUGUCAAUGUUUCUUCUUGUCUAGCAACAUAUGUAUGUAGUUCGGCUCAAAGGCCGGCUCAAAACGGCACAAAACCUGCUGUAGUGGGUAUUAUUGUAGGAAUCACGGAGGCCACAGCAGCCGCACUAUUAUACAGACGGCGCUGGCGGCGCCGGUAUUUUCGUAUUCAACGCGACAGGUAGAAUACGAAGCUACGGCGUGUUGUUAUUGCUCCGUCUUCAACGGUUGUCGUGCGAGCUGCGUCGAUGUGUUUGUUUGACCGUGUGUUAUUAGGUUUGCUGUAAUGAAAUGAGACGUAGUUCGCGAGCACGAAAGUGCCAGAAGAUGGCUUGAGUCUCGCUGUAAGCACGCCGUAUGCGUGGCGCGCCAGCUAAAUGUGGACCAACGAUUUUCAUGCCAUGGAGUGCGUUCCCUUUGUCUCCGCUUGUGUUCGUGGAAAGUUUGGUGGACGGCGCAGAGAAGUAAUGCGUAUUAUUAGCGCGCCUCAGCUCGUCCACUACCCAGUGGCUUGUUUGCUGCAAGUAACAUCGCAGACGCAUCACUGGAAACUUGGAGAGUGCCUUUCGACCUCGUCGUACUGUUGAAACGUGGCGAGGCCGUGACCCACAACAUUAACUACAAGAUCGAGGAGCCCCAAGAAAUGCCGACCCUGUGGAUAUAUGGCUGCAGCAGCAUGGCGUGUGAUCUGGAUCGUCAUGACAGGCUCCACCGUCGCCGUUACUAGACGGACCAAACGAAGCCAAAAACU